AUUGAACGCUGGCGGCAGGCCUAACACAUGCAAGUCGAGCGAGCGGCGGACGGGUGAGUAAUGUCUGGGAAACUGCCUGAUGGAGGGGGAUAACUACUGGAAACGGUAGCUAAUACCGCAUACCAUCAGAUGUGCCCAGAUGGGAUUAGCUAGUAGGUGGGGUAAUGGCUCACCUAGGCGACGAUCCCUAGCUGGUCUGAGAGGAUGACCAGCCACACUGGAACUGAGACACGGUCCAGACUCCUACGGGAGGCAGCAGUGGGGAAUAUUGCACAAUGGGCGCAAGCCUGAUGCAGCCAGGCCGCGUGGGUGAAGAAGGUCUUCGGGUUGUAAAGCACUUUCAGCGAGGAGGCGUUACCAACAGAAGAAGCACCGGCUAACUCCGUGCCAGCAGCCGCGGUAAUUC
rnacentral:rRNA from 1 species